rnacentral:rRNA from 1 species
GACGAACGCUGGCGGCGUGCUUAACACAUGCAAGUCGAACGGACAGGCCCUACUUUUGUGGCGUGCUCGAGUGCCGCACGGGUGAGUAACACGCGUGUAACCUGCCCUUAUCUUUCGGAUAAAUUCACGAAACUGGGGCUCAUAUCGGAUAGGAUCUCCUGCAGCGCAUUGGGGGUUGGUAAGUUUCGGCGGUUGGGGAUGGACUAGCGGCUUAUCAGCUUGUUGGUGGGGUAGUGACUUACCAAGGCUUUGACGGGUAGCCGGCCUGAGAGGGUGACCGGCGACAUGGGGACUGAGAUACGGCCCAGACGCGUACGGGAGGCAGCAGUGGGAAAUAUUGCAGAAUGGGCGGAAGCCUGAUGCAGCAACGCCGCGUGCGGGAUGACGGCCUUCGGGUUGUAAACCGCUGUCGCCGGUGACGAAGCGUGAGUGACGGUAAUGGGUAAAGAAGCACCGGCUAACUACGUG